rnacentral:rRNA from 1 species
CAGUCGCCGCGGUAAGACGAAGGGGGCUAGCGUUGCUCGGAAUUACUGGGCGUAAAGGGAGCGUAGGCGGGUCGUUUAGUCAGAGGUGAAAUCCCGGGGCUCAACCUCGGAACUGCCUUUGAUACUGGCGACCUUGAGUAUGGGAGAGGUGUGUGGAACUCCGAGUGUAGAGGUGAAAUUCGUAGAUAUUCGGAAGAACACCGGUGGCGAAGGCGACACACUGGCCCAUUACUGACGCUGAGGCUCGAAAGCGUGGGGAGCAAACAGGAUUAGAUACCCCUGUAGUCCCUGUCUAUUAUAC